AUUGAACGCUAGCGGCAUGCCUUACACAUGCAAGUCGAACGGAGUGGCGAACGGGUGAGUAAUGUAUCGGUACGUGCCCAGUAGCGGGGGAUAACUACGCGAAAGCGUAGCUAAUACCGCAUACUCUUGGAGCGGCCGAUAUCGGAUUAGCUUGUUGGUGGGGUAACGGCUCACCAAGGCGACGAUCCGUAGCUGGUUUGAGAGGACGACCAGCCCGACUGGGACUGAGACACGGCCCAGACUCCAACGGGAGGCAGCAGUGGGGAAUGUUGGAAAAUGGGGGAAACCCUGAACCAGCCAUGCCGCGUGUGCGAUGAAGGCCUUCGAGUUGUAAAGCACUUAUGGCAGGAAAGCGGUACCUGCAGAAUAAGCACCGGCUAACUACGUGCCAGCAGCCGCGGUAAUAC
rnacentral:rRNA from 1 species